AAAAAAUUAGUUAAAUUUUAUAACAUUAGUGUGUCAAACUAAAAUUAUUAAAUUAUUUAAUAUUUUUUA
rnacentral:tRNA from 1 species